UACGUAGGGUGCAAGCGUUAAUCGGAAUUACUGGGCGUAAAGCGUGCGCAGGCGGCUAUGCAAGACAGAUGUGAAAUCCCCGGGCUCAACCUGGGAACUGCAUUUGUGACUGCAUGGCUAGAGUACGGUAGAGGGGGAUGGAAUUCCGCGUGUAGCAGUGAAAUGCGUAGAUAUGCGGAGGAACACCGGAGGCGAAGGCGGCUUGCUGGGCGUGAUCUGACGCUGAGGCGCGAAAGCGUGGGGAGCAAACAGG
rnacentral:rRNA from 1 species